rnacentral:lncRNA from 1 species
CAAAACCCACUAACAUCUUUACCUCACUUCACCACUUUUUUUGCUCUCAUCACCAACCUACCAUUGUGCCACUACCUCUUCUCUUCCACUCCAGUUCAAUAUGAAUUCCAACUUCAGAUCAUGCCACAGAAUUUGCAACCAUCAACUUGGAUGCCAUCUAGGAAACAAAAAGAACAAGGAUGCUCUUCAUGUUAAUUAGUUCUACUAGUUAGGCCACAAGCCUUCAACUUGAAGGGCAACCAAUGAUCCUUUGGCAAUGUUUACUAUUAUAUCAUACACACACACACUCACUCAGUGUAAGCAAUCUUGGUAAUUAGUUUACUGUUUUUGCUCUUAUGUUGUUUAUUUCUCUAUAGAUGUUUCUGAGUAACAUGUUUCUAUUUGGGUAGCCUGUGUCCUGAUUCACUGUUAAUGCUAUGUUAAACUCUGCCAUUGGUUUUCAAAUCUUUUUUAUUUCAAGUUCUUUUGUUUUUAUAAUUGCUUGUUUAGUUUGACUAUUCAGGUCAGCAAGAUUUCUAACUUGUGGUUUAUUUAUUCAUUCAAUUUAACGCAAGAAGUAUUUUGUAGCUUAAAAUAGCAAAAAUUGGCUAAAUACUAUAUGGAUUAAGUACUUAGUGUUCACACAAGUGUAAAAACGAUCUAUUCACUAAGAAAUCUCGUAUUCGUUUAUUAUCGUGUACGUAAACCCUUCUAGCCACAAUAAUAACUACGGAUGAAAUUAUCUUUUUAGUAGGAAAAUAAAAGUUCAACAUGUUUUUCGUCCAUUUAACUUUAACAUAAAAUUGAAUUUUGUUUUUAGUUUAAAUUUUAGACCAUUCAAAUACUUGUAGUAUAAAAAUGAUUAAAAUAAAUUUUAUUAUGUGAAAUUGGUUCAAUUUAAAGUUUCACUUCAUCAAUACAUUGAAUAUAGUUACAAUGAACAUCAGUCUUUAAUUAAAAUAAUAAUAAAUUUUUAAAAAAAUUAACAAUCAUUUUAUUUGUAUAAUUAUACAUUUUAAUCAUCUUUAAACUACAAUUAUCUGGAUAGUCUAAAGUUUAAACUAAAAACAAAAAUCAAUUUCGUAUUAUAAUAUAUAGACGAAAAAUAUAUUUAACUUUUAAGUAAUAUAUGAAAUUAAAUGGUAGGUAACUAAUAAGUGUUGAAGCUAAAGGUAUUGUAGAUAGACUAAUUUUAUUUAACCUAUUUAAAUUAAUUUAGUUAUAUUAUUUUAUAGUGAAUAAAAUAAUUUUUUUCUUAUUUAAAACCUAUUUCCUAAAUCAGAAUUUUAUAAUUCUUAUAACCUUUGAAUUAUUUUAAAACCAAUGUAAAUUAAUUUUAUUAAAAACUUCAUAAUAUAGAGAAUUCUGAAAAGGAUAUAUUUUGUUUAUAUGUUAAUAUGAUAUGGAAAGGCAUAAUAAACCAUGCGAAUUAAGUAGUAGUUUUAAUUAAAAUCAUUAAUUUUUAAUUUUAUUUUUUAUUAUACUUUUUAAUUUUAAAUCAAUUAUGAUAAAUGGACUAUGUGUUUUGUCCUUACUUUUUUCUAUUAAUCCUAUUAAAAAGUGGGUUUAUAUAUCUCUAACUUAAUUUUAUAAAAUUGGCUUGCAAGGUAAAGACUAUAAACUUAUACAUAGAUUAUUUUUAUGGAUAAUUGAUAUAUGAUAUCCAACACAAAAUGAAAACCUAAUUAGUUGUCUAUGUGGACGUAGGUUGCAGAUUGACAGCGACCGAACCACGUUAAAUCAUGUGUUGUUUAUUUUCUGCAGUUGAUUUGCGAUUGUGUGUUGCUUUCGCGUGCGUUUUUCCAUCAGCUUCCACUCAACUACAUCAACAUUGACAUUAUUAUUUUUUUUUGCUGGACUCACCAUUGUCGAUGUGUUGUUGGUUUAGGGUUUAGGGUUUAUAAAUGAGUCAUUUAUAGUCUUUCUGAAGGAGCAAUGUACUUAAGAGACACUUCAAUAUAACACCUCAAAUUGGAAUCUUUAACCAAAAUCAAAAUGCACUUAAAAUAUGAUUCUUCAAAUUGGAAUCACAACAAGCUAUAACUAAGACAACUUGCAAAAUUGCAUCCAAAAUUUCUUUGAGUCUUAAUAUGUACAUCCUCACCCCACCACAAAGCAACUGUAGGCACAGGCGCAAGGAGAGAGUUCAUCGGAAUUGGAGCCGGUGGGAAGCUCAUUGAUGUCACAGUCGGAGUAGACGAUGUCGGAGGCUUGGUCGCUGGAGUAGGAGCCACAACCGUGGGAGGAGAUGUCGCUGACAAUGCGG